rnacentral:rRNA from 1 species
AAUGAACGCUGGCGGCGUGCUUAACACAUGCAAGUCGAGCGUGAACGGACUUCGGUCUUAGUAAAGCGGCAGACGGGUGAGUAACGCGUGGGAAUCUUCCUUUUAGUGGAGAAUACCCUCGAGAAAUCGAGGUUAAUACUGCAUACGUUCCUUCGGGAAGAAAGAUGGCCUCUUUGCUAUCGCUAAAAGAUGAGCCUGCGUACUAUUAGCUAGUUGGUAGGGUAAAGGCCUACCAAGGCUUUGAUGGUUAACCGGCCUGAGAGGGUGUACGGUCACACUGGAACUGAGACACGGUCCAGACUCCUACGGGAGGCAGCAGUGAGGAAUAUUGCGCAAUGGGCGAAAGCCUGACGCAGCGACGCCGCGUGGAGGAUGAAGGUCUUCGGAUUGUAAACUUCUGUUAAGUGGGAAGAAAUGCACGAUAAUAAUACGAUCGUGAGAUGACGGUACCAUUAGAGAAAGCACUGGCUAACUUCGUGCCAGCAGCCGCAGUAAUAC